rnacentral:sRNA from 1 species
UUGCUAUCUGCGAUAUGGAAGAUUCGAACCUGCCGCAAGUUCGGGACUCACGCAGUGAGACAACGGAGCCGCUUGCGGCGACGGCCCGAAGGGCGAGCGAAGCGAGUCAUCCUGCACGACCCACCA